UACGAAGGGGGCUAGCGUUGUUCGGAAUUACUGGGCGUAAAGCGCACGUAGGCGGCUUUGUAAGUUAGAGGUGAAAGCCCAGGGCUCAACCCUGGAAUUGCCUUUAAGACUGCAUCGCUUGAAUUGUGGAGAGGUAAGUGGAAUUCCGAGUGUAGAGGUGAAAUUCGUAGAUAUUCGGAAGAACACCAGUGGCGAAGGCGACUUACUGGACACAUAUUGACGCUGAGGUGCGAAAGCGUGGGGAGCAAACAGG
rnacentral:rRNA from 1 species